UACAGAGGGUGCGAACGUUGCUCGGAAUGAUUGGGCGUAAAGCGCGUGUAGGCGGCCGAUUAUGCCGGUUGUGAAAGCCCGUGGCUCAACCACGGAAGUGCAGUCGGAACUGAUCGGCUAGAGUGCCGAAGAGGGUGGCGGAAUGCCCAGUGUAGAGGUGAAAUUCGUAGAUAUUGGGUAGAACACCGAUGGCGAAGGCAGCCUCCUGGGCCAGCACUGACGCUCAUGCACGAAAGCGUGGGGAGCAAACAGG
rnacentral:rRNA from 1 species